UACGUAGGGGUCGAGCGUUGUCCGGAGUACUGGGCGUAAAGCGCGUGCAGGUGGCUCAUUACGCCCGGCGUGAAAGCCCCCGGCGUCAACCGGGGAGGGUCGUCGGGGACGGGUGAGCUUGAGGGUAGCAGGGGCUGGUAGGAAUUCCCGGUGUAGUGGUGAAAGUGCGAUUGAGAGAUCGGGAGGAAUACCCGUGGCGAAGGCGGCCAGCUGGGCUACACCUGACACUGAGGCACGAAAGCGUGGGGAGCGAACGGGAGU
rnacentral:rRNA from 1 species